CAGCAGCCGCGGUAAUACGUAGGGUACAAGCGUUAAUCGGAAUUACUGGGCGUAAAGCGUGCGCAGGCGGUUUGUUAAGACAGAUGUGAAAUCCCCGGGCUCAACCUGGGAACUGCAUUUGUGACUGGCAAGCUAGAGUCUGGCAGAGGGGGGUGGAAUUCCGCGUGUAGCAGUGGAAUGCGUAGAUAUGCGGAGGAACACCGAUGGCGAAGGCAGCCCCCUGGGCCAACACUGACGCUCAUGCACGAAAGCGUGGGGAGCAAACAGGAUUAGAUACCCGUGUAGUCCCUGUCUCUUAUAC
rnacentral:rRNA from 1 species